rnacentral:rRNA from 1 species
UACGUGAAACCGUUCAGGGGCAAACCUGAGAAGCCCGAAAGGUCGAAGGGGGAGAUUCAACCGCGUCUCGGAAGCCGGCGAGUGGAGGGCUCGCGACGCGGCGGCGUUCGCGCCGUCGCGCGCGGCCAACUUCCGGACCGGCCCCGAACGCGUGCACUUCUCCCCUUGUAGGACGUCGCGACCCGUUGGGUGUCGGUCUAAGGCCCGCGUGGUAGCCCGUACGGACGGUCCCGUCGCAAGCGCGGACGGCAAACCCGACGCUCGGACCUGGUCCGGGCCCGGGCCCGCCCGGCUGCUGGCGACGGUGUUCUCGGACAGACCCCGAACACGCCCGUCGGCGACGCUAUAGCUUUGGGUACUUUCAGGACCCGUCUUGAAACACGGACCAAGGAGUCUAGCAUGUGCGCGAGUCAUUGGGACUAGCGAAACCUAAAGGCGAAAUGAAAGUGAAGGCGCGCCUAGCGCGCGCCUAGGGAGGAUGGGCCUUGCCACGGCUCGGCCCCGCACUCCCGGGGCGUCUCGUUCUCAUCGCGAGAAGAGGCGCACCCAGAGCGUACACGCUGGGACCCGAAAGAUGGUGAACUAUGCCUGGUCAGGACGAAGUCAGGGGAAACCCUGAUGGAGGUCCGUAGCGAUUCUGACGUGCAAAUCGAACGUCGGAACUGGGUAUAG